rnacentral:lncRNA from 1 species
CCCACUUGGAAACUUCUUGAGAAUUUGGGAACUGACCAAGAACACCUUGUAUCUUAUCAUCUUCUCUCUAGCAGCACUGGAAAGGUACAUGCUACCAAAAACCCUUUCGUCAGUUUCAAUUUUACAAGGGAGAACGGAUGCUAUCUAAGGACCUGAAAACAACAUAGUUGUCAGUACCAUGGAGUUGGUUGCUGAAAUGGAAUUCCAGCAUGUAAGACAUUAAGUGCCAAUCAGAAGAGAGAUACCAUGCAUAUAAAGAAGCUCUGGACAGAAGAUUAAUACCAGGAACAUCGAAUCCCUUUUUAUGCUAAGGGAUCUAACAUCACUUUAGCACCUGUAAUUUGUCAUUAUUAUUUAGCCGUGAAAUGAAAAGGGAACAAAGUAAGGAAGAACACCAGUCAUCUGGAAGAAAUACAGGAUCCUCAGGAAACACAGAGGACCUUGCCAUGCCUAUCUUCAGAUUCCAAGCCUAUCUUCAGAUUCCAAGCCUCAGGUUACUUUAUCAGUAUCUAUCCCAAAUCCUGGACACAAAGGGAAGGCACAAAGUAAUCUGCUUUUCCAGAAUCCAAAGGGAUUCUAUUGCUCUAUCACCAGGGUGCUUUAAUUUCCAUCAUGAACAAAUGGUGCUUUGAAAGACUGCACAUCUAAUUUGUUGACUGUUUUCAUUAGUGCGGUUUUCUUGGUAACCAAUAUGGGAGAAGUAGUUGUUUGGGCCUCCGAGACUGUGACUAAGGUGACUCGUAACAAAAGAUGGCUCUAUGCAGAGAUUUUGUUGUUUUCAUUUCUAUAAAAAUAGUUUCUCUCAAUAGCUGCAUUGGAUAGACUUUUUG